CCCUCACCCACAUGAAGUGUCUACCUUCUGCAGACUCCAGCGGCUCAGGAACCGGGAUCCAGUGCCAGGCUCGUGGUGUCCUGCAGCAGAUGUGGGGAGCUUUCCUUCUUUACGUCUCCAUGAAGAUGGGAGUCACUACAGGACAAAACAUUGACCAGCCCACUGAGAUGACAGCUAUGGAAGGAGCCAUUGUCCAGAUCAACUGCACGUACCAGACGUCUGGGUUCAAUGGGCUGUCCUGGUACCAGCAACAUGAUGGCGAAGCACCCACACUUCUCUCUUACAAUGUUCUGGAUGGUUUGGAGGAGAAAGGUCGUUUUUCUUCAUUCCUUAGUAACUCGAAAAGGUACAGUUACCUCCUUUUGAAGGAGCUCCAGAUGAAAGACUCUGCCUCUUACCUCUGUGCUGUGAGAGACACGGUGACUAUGAGGUCUCUUCAGCCGCAACAAAAUUCAAAAAGCAACCACAGCAGCAAGAAGUUAUAUUUCCUGAGUGUAUGCCUGCUGUGA